CAGCAGCCGCGGUAAUACAGAGGGUGCAAGCGUUAAUCGGAAUUACUGGGCGUAAAGCGCGCGUAGGUGGUUUGUUAAGUUGGAUGUGAAAGCCCCGGGCUCAACCUGGGAACUGCAUCCAAAACUGGCAAGCUAGAGUACGGUAGAGGGUGGUGGAAUUUCCUGUGUAGCGGUGAAAUGCGUAGAUAUAGGAAGGAACACCAGUGGCGAAGGCGACCACCUGGACUGAUACUGACACUGAGGUGCGAAAGCGUGGGGAGCAAACAGGAUUAGAUACCUCCGUAGUCCCUGUCUCUUAUAA
rnacentral:rRNA from 1 species